UACAGAGGGGGCAAGCGUUAUUCGGAAUUAUUGGGCGUAAAGGGCGCGUAGGCGGCCUGGCAAGUGGAUGGUGAAAUCCCUCGGCUUAACCGAGGAACUGCCAUCCAGACUGCUUGGCUUGAGACCGGGAGAGGUGAGUGGAAUUCCCAGUGUAGCGGUGAAAUGCGUAGAUAUUGGGAGGAACACCAGUGGCGAAGGCGGCUCACUGGACCGGUACUGGACGCUGAUGCGCGAAAGCGUGGGUAGCAAACAGG
rnacentral:rRNA from 1 species